AUGAAGGUGGGUCUCGAAUCUCCUAUUCUUCCUUUUUUUACUUCUGGUGUUGAAGUUGUUGUGUGCCUUACAAUUGAAACCCGGUUGGGACUCGUGACGGUUUCUGACGAGAAGCUCAAAAGUUCAGCAGUCCCAAGUAUCUCAGUGGAGAUAAUGUAUUCAGGGUUUGCAAUUUUGAUAGAGAAGUUUGAAGGGUGGUGA